AGGGCCAUGAGCUUAGUGAUGAGCAUGGAGGCACUAGGGGGUUGAAGGCUGAGCUGUAGUUGAUGAACAGCAUUCUUACAUAGGUAUUCUUCUUGUCCAGGUGGAAUAGGGCAGUGCAAUGGCAAUGAUCUGAAAUUGCAACUCAGCUUUGUCCUUGUACUGUUAUUUUGCCUCUGAUUGCCUUACGGACGUUGUAGAUGGUCUGUUUGUACAGGUCCAUGUUCCCAGUCACCUUGUCAUGGUCUGUUUGUACAGGUCCAUGUUCUCAGUCACCUUGUCAUGGUCUGUUUGUACAGGUCCAUGUUCUCAGUCACCUUGUCAUGGUCUGUUUGUACAGGUCCAUGUUCUCAGUCACCUUGUCAUGGUCUGUUUGUACAGGUCCAUGUUCCCAGUCACCUUGUCAUGGUCUGUUUGUACAGGUCCAUGUUCCCAGUCACCUUGUCAUGGUCUGUUUGUACAGGUCCAUGUUCCCAGUCACCUUGUCAUGGUCUGUUUGUACAGGUCCAUGUUCUCAGUCACCUUGUCAUGGUCUGUUUGUACAGGUCCAUGUUCCCAGUCACCUUGUCAUGGUCUGUUUGUACAGGUCCAUGUUCCCAGUCACCUUGUCAUGGUCUGUUUGUACAGGUCCAUGUUCCCAGUCACCUUGUCAUGGUCUGUUUGUACAGGUCCAUGUUCCCAGUCACCUUGUCAUGGUCUGUUUGUACAGGUCCAUGUUCUCAGUCACCUUGUCAU